rnacentral:rRNA from 1 species
AUUGAACGCUGGCGGAAUGCUUUACACAUGCAAGUCGAACGGCAGCACGGACUUCGGUCUGGUGGCGAGUGGCGAACGGGUGAGUAAUACAUCGGAACGUGCCCAAUCGUGGGGGAUAACGUAGCGAAAGCUACGCUAAUACCGCAUACGAUCUAAGGAUGAAAGCGGGGGAUCGCAAGACCUCGCGCGAUUGGAGCGGCCGAUGGCAGAUUAGGUAGUUGGUAGGGUAAAGGCCUACCAAGCCGACGAUCUGUAGCUGGUCUGAGAGGAUGAUCAGCCACACUGGGACUGAGACACGGCCCAGACUCCUACGGGAGGCAGCAGUGGGGAAUUUUGGACAAUGGGCGAAAGCCUGAUUCAGCCAUUCCGCGUGAGUGAAGAAGGCCUUCGGGUUGUAAAGCUCUUUCGGCAGGAACGAAACGCUCUAGAUUAAUACCCUGGGGUAAUGACGGUACCUGAAGAAGAAGCACCGGCUAACUACGUGCCAGCCGCCGCGGUAA